GACGUCAGGAGCAAAAGGACAGACCACUGAAUCAACAACGGCCAAAAUAACGACAAUACCACUGACGUCUGGAGCAAAAGGACAGACCACUGAAUCAACAACGGCCAAAGUGACGACAGUACCACUGACGUCAGGAGCAAAAGGACAGACCACUGAAUCAACAACGGCCAAAAUAUCGACAGUACCACUGACGUCUGGAGCAAAAGGACAGACCACUGG